GACGAACGCUGGCGGCGUGCUUAACACAUGCAAGUCGAACGGAAAGGCCCUGCUUGCAGGGUACUCGAGUGGCGAACGGGUGAGUAACACGUGGGUGGUCUGCCCUGCACUUCGGGAUAAGCCUGGGAAACUGGGUCUAAUACCGGAUAGGAGCCAUUUUUAGUGUGAUGGUUGGAAAGUUUUUUCGGUGUAGGAUGAGCUCGCGGCCUAUCAGCUUGUUGGUGGGGUAAUGGCCUACCAAGGCGGCGACGGGUAGCCGGCCUGAGAGGGUGGACGGCCACAUUGGGACUGAGAUACGGCCCAGACUCCUACGGGAGGCAGCAGUGGGGAAUAUUGCACAAUGGGCGCAAGCCUGAUGCAGCGACGCCGCGUGGGGGAUGACGGCCUUCGGGUUGUAAACUCCUUUCGCUAGGGACGAAGCUUUUUGUGACGGUACCUAGAUAAGAAGCACCGGCUAACUACGUG
rnacentral:rRNA from 1 species